rnacentral:rRNA from 1 species
UACGUAGGGUGCAAGCGUUAAUCGGAAUUACUGGGCGUAAAGCGUGCGCAGGCGGUUUUGUAAGUCUGACGUGAAAUCCCCGGGCUCAACCUGGGAAUUGCGUUGGAGACUGCAAGGCUAGAAUCUGGCAGAGGGGGGUAGAAUUCGAGGUGUAGCAGUGAAAUGCGUAGAGAUGUGGAGGAACACCGAUGGCGAAGGCAGCCCCCUGGGACAAGAUUGACGCUCAUGCACGAAA